UACGUAGGGUGCGAGCGUUAAUCGGAAUUACUGGGCGUAAGGCGUGCGCAGGCGGUUUUGUAAGCCAGAUGUGAAAGCCCCGGGCUUAACCUGGGAAUGGCAUUUGGGACUGCAAGGCUUGAGUGCGGCAGAGGAGACUGGAAUUCCUGGUGUAGCAGUGAAAUGCGUAGAUAUCAGGAGGAAUACCGAUGGCGAAGGCAGGUCUCUGGGCUGACACUGACGCUCAUGCACGAAAGCGUGGGGAGCAAACAGG
rnacentral:rRNA from 1 species